AAAAAUGACUUAUCAUAGCCUUCCUCUUUCAUUCUUGCUGGAGAGAUGUCAAGGUUUGCUUCUCUUCCUUCUGUCCUUCCUUGCAUAUUUUUCAACCAAAUGAUUAUGUCACUGUCUUCUUUCCUCUCAAUAAAGAGAAGUGUCCAACCCUUCAGCAUUCCAACUGCAACCACCUGCGAAAGAGCUACACAGCACAUGUAGUGCUGCUUGGCCAACAGGAGGGAAGGAUCCCUUCCCUUGGGCUGCACUGGCUGCCCAAGGUGUGCUGUGAAUGUGGCUUCAUGCUCAUGGCUACUCCACCGGCAGCUCACCAUGCCAGGGACACAGGGGCAGCUGCUUGUGGGGCAGUGUGUCCUGGCUUUGUGACAUGCCAGCUCGAAACUGUGUGACAGGAACAAUCUGUUGGAGCAGGAGUUUCUUAUGUGUUCUUUGCUAGCAGAAGAAAUCAAUCUCUAAGAUACACACUGGGUAAAAAGGAGCUUCAAGCUCUCUUCAUGUCUUCUCCCUCACUGCCAGCUUUGGGAAGAGAGCAGUUGCUACUAAAGAAAAGGGGCUUCAUAUUUUGCCAUGUUUGUUGUCAUGGUUUUUCCCCCCUAAGGCCUUAUCCCAGUUACUACAGAAGUAAAUUGGCAGGCAAGAAAUGCUGGCAGUUAUGAGUCCUAUUGCCAUAGGGCUGCUUUGUCUCUCAGUGCAAGCAGUCAGUGUAUUUCUGGUUUAUGUUUACCAUCAGAGCCACAGUCAGUCACACAAGCUGCAGUUCCAGCCUUGCAUCUACAAGGGGAGAUACCACAGAUACCAUCAUAGCCUUCACAGAGGUGACUUUCUGGAGGGGAUGCUGAGAGGAUUUACUACCUGUGUGGGACAGGCAUAAUGGAACUCAUUCUAAUGCUCCAUCCAGAAGAGAGUUCAAGAGAAAGUAAGAGCAUGUCUUUUAAUGAGUAGAAACAAGAGAAAGGUGACUGAGACUUGGCCAAUUCAACCUUUCUAAAAGCUUAUCCCUUUGCAAUCAUUGUAAACUUCAUUUCCUCACACUCAGGACACACACCUGACAAUGUGACCACACAACUCCACUGGACUUUGAUGUAAGGGUGAGCCCGCAGGCAGACAAACAAAUUGCUUCAGCUCACAUCUCUCUUUCUGGCAUUUUUGUCUUUCUUCAAUAGUCAACUUGGAUAAAAGCAAAUCUC
rnacentral:lncRNA from 1 species